rnacentral:tRNA from 1 species
UGGAGUAUAGCCAAGAGGUAAGGCAAUGGGCUUUGACCCCACGAGCCCAGGUUCGAUCCCUGGUACUCCAGC